rnacentral:lncRNA from 1 species
UGUUUACAAAUUUCAUUCUGAGCGGGAAAAUCUUCAAAGUUUUUUUUUUCCAGUUUCAGAAAUGGAGAACAAAGAUGUCGCCGUGGAGAAAACCGACGCCGGUCCGAUCGAAUUACCUGCUCCUCCUGGCUGGAAGAAGAGAGUUUGUACUCUUUGAUACUUUUUUCGCUGUUAAAAUUUCGAUUCAGCUGUUUUUUAUUUAGUGAUUUCUGUAAUUAUUCGUUGCUUAGUUGCGUGUUUGUGGUUGAAAAAAAAUGGAGAUGUAACUUUUGUUGCUGUUAGUGUGCGGAUUUAGGUUUUCAUGAGGUUUCUGAUUUGGUGAUUAAAUUUCGAUUUAGCUGGUUUUUGUUGCUUUGAAUUAAUGAUAUGUUAAGUGUGUUAAUUGUGAUCUAGAUUUGAUUAUGUGUGAUAUGUGAAGCUCUGAAACAAGUAGAUGAUUAUGCUUUUGUUAGCUUCCUAGCUAAAACUUAUGCAAUUUAAGUAUAUUCAGUAUGUGUUUCCUGUAUGAACUUGAUAGAGUUCAACUUUUAUCUGAAAAUAAUUAUGAGUGAUGUAAGGUGGAACUCGAACAAGUACCUGUAUUAUGAUUUAGUUAGCUUCAUAGCAGAAGUUCUAUGAAUAGGUGUAUGCAGUUUGUUUUAUGAACUUAAUAGAAUUAAUGAUUUUCAUAACUGUCGGGAUUGUCUCCUAGCUAAUCUGGAUGAUUUCAAAAUUAAGAUGUUGUGGUUUAGUUUGUUUAUUUUAUCACCUCUUUUCAGUCAUAUAGCUUCCAGGUUAUUUGUUGAAAAAGGGAGAGCUGUUUCAGUAUUGACAAUGAAAGAUGUAUACUACUUGAAAUAAAUGCUUAUUUAGGAGAGGUAUUUAUACCAGCAUUUAGGAUGUAGGCGGAAUUGUCUCCUAGCUAAUCUGUAUAAGAUCAUAAUUAAGAUGUUGUGGUGUUAGUCGGUUGAUUUAAUCACCUUUUUUAAGUCAUAUGGUUUCCAAGCCAUUUUUCGAAAGACAUAAGAUAGUCACUGCACAGCUCUUUAUGUAAUUGAGGGUGCAAGCUGUUCCAGUAUUGACCAUGAAACAUCCGGAGUACUCAUAGAUUCCUAUUUAGGAGAGGUAUUUAUACCAGUACUCAGGACUAACUUGGAAACUAAUGCUACUAGUCUGCCCUAGUACAGAAACUUUUUUGUUGUUCGAAAUAUUUCUUAAGAUUGUCAGAAGCUUGAAUCAACUUCAACUUUGAAGGUUACUUAAUUAAGUUUGUUGAAUGUGUGGCACUAACUAUAUUUACCUGUGUGGAACAUAUAUGAAAAAUAUCACUGUAUCUGAACUUUUCUACUUUUUGAUGGAUCUGUGGCCUAUCUGACGUGGCUUAAAUUUCUGAAGUGAAUUUCCCCUAGAGGGUUGUAUACAAAAGUUGAGUCUCUAUUUAGAAUGCCGACUUGUAGAAGUAUUUUUUUAUUUUAAUCAGUUUGUAUUUUGUUGGUAGUAAGUAUUUGUUCGUCUUUCCAGUUCACUCCGGGAAAGAGCAGUACCCCUAGAAGGUAUGCUAUUGUAUUUGUUUCACCUGACGGCGACGAAAUUAAGAACAAGAAGCAAUUAGACAAGUAUCUGAAAUCUCAUCCAGGAGGACCUCCUGCCUCUGAAUUUAAUUGGGGUACAGGUGACACUCCUAGACGAUCAAGUAGAUUGGGUGGAAAAUCUGAAGCAAUGGAGACACCAGAAAGUGAUACUCCCAGUACGAAGAGACAAAGGAAAUCAAGUUCCAAAAAAGAAGCCAAGGAAGAUGGUAGCGAGCGAAAAGCUGAGGGUGCUACUGAGAAAGAAACUAAGGCAAAUGAUGAACCUGCUUUGCCUGAUGCAGAGGAUCUGGAAGCCCAAGAUGUAGAGAUGGCAUCUAAGAAUCUCACUGAUGGAGAUAACACAAAGGAUGAGAAGGAGAAGACCAAUGAUGGCGAGAUUGUCCCCAAGGAGCCUCUGGCAAGUGAAGAUAAGAUGGAAAUUGUGCAUGAAAAAGAAGAAACAAAGGAUGAGAAGGAGAAGACUGAUGAUGGUGAGAUUGUCCCCAAGGAGCCUCUGGCAAGUGAAGAUAAGAUGGAAAUUGUGCAAGAAAAAGAAGAAACAAAGGAUGAGGAGGAGAAGACCAAUGAUGGUGAGAUUGUCCCUGAGGAGCCAUCGGAAAGUGAAGAUAAGAUGGAAAUUGUGCAAGAAAAAGAAGAAAUAUUGGAUGAGGGAAACAUUGAGAAAAUGAAAAAUCGAGAAGCGGAAGAUAAGCCUCUGGAUAACAGCCUUAAGACUGACAAUAAAACACUACCGUUGAAUGUGUUGGAAGAAAAUAAGAUUGAGAGUAAACCAGCUGGGACAGAUGCCUCAUCUCUUUCUGUUGAACACAGCAAGUCAACCUCAGGUAGCCAAGAAGAAAUUGCAGAAGAAGCUCCUGCAGCUGAAGAUGCACUGGAUGCGCUUGAGGAAAAUAAAAUAGAGAGUAAACCAGCUGGGGCAGAUGCCUCAUCUCAUUCUGCAGAACUCAGCAAGGCAACCUCAGUUAGCCAAGAAGAAGCUCCAGCCGCUGCAGAUCCACUGGUUCAGAAUUCUAAUGAUGGUAAAGUACACGAAAAUGAGCAGAUUGUCAGGGAGAUUCCAAUUGAGGAGAUCAAUGGUACAGAAUCCGCUGCAGCAUGUGUUAACAAUUCUGUGCAGCAAGAAGCCACCGUAAUCAACCAAGCCACCUCAAGUUAACUUUUUUAUAUCUUAGUAGAAUACCGUAUCAUCUGGCCUUCAUUUCUUCUUGGCCCUGAUUUAGGUAACUGACAAACAGCAUCAAGCAUGCUCUGCAUAUUUUAAGAAUUCUUAGCUGCUUAUUUUGUGUUAAACUGUACUGCUGCUGUCAUCUUCGACAUUGAUCAACUUAUAUUCUAUUAAGGUGUCAGGAUUUCUUGCAUUUUGACAAAAUGUUGGCCCAUUUCUCUAUUAAUAAAUAUAUACAGUUAUGAUGUUUUCUGGAAAGGUGGCUACUAAAAUCAAGAGUAGUUGUCUUCAAAUUGUGGUAGCACCUCUCCUUUUCAGUUCAAGUCAGCGAGCGGUUGAAGAUUUAAAAGUUCUUCAACUUUGAGUGAAGAUCUUUGAUAAGGCAUUGGUUGUACUUCACGUAUACAUCGAACUCUCCAUGAAACUGUAAGUUCCUUCCCUCUAGUUUCAGUUUUUGUUUCUCGAUAUCAUUUUUUUUCAAUACUUGGAUUACAGUUCUGAACUGAAUUGAAUAGUCUUGACUUUUGACGUAUGCCAUAAUGUGAUCUUCUAGCUACUUAUAUCGAUGUUUUUCACUCAGUUUGAACUGAUUACUUAUAUAUACAAUGAUUCUUUAUCUCCAUCUCUGAUGAAUGAUCAUAUAAGAACUUAAUCACAAGUUUUAUUUUGCUUUAAGUUUUAUCGAAAUGAUGCUGUUGGAAGUUAAUUUUAACUUCAGUUAAUAUGAUUAUGUUUUUUUCUGCUGAAAAUUGAUCUUGUUGGUGAAAUGUUGUUAAUAUUUUUAGAUAUGGGAUAUUGAUUUUGUGUGUGCUAUGUAAUAUUUUGUUAUUCUCACUACUUUUUACUCACUUUUAAUUGCUUCUAAGUUAAAAAAAGGGAGAGUAAGUUGGUGCAUUUUUUACUUCAAUCAUAUGUUCUUUCGUGUUAUUCUUUACUUAGUUUGAGAAACUUUGUCCACAUGCAUAAUAUUGCUCAUGGUAUUAGUUUAAUAUUUAAAUAUAUUUUAUUUUUAUAAUAAUAAUAUUGUAGAGGGGUAAUAAUGAACUUCUAUACCUAAGAACACGAUGAUAUGUGCUCCCAUCGUGUUUUUUUUUAUGUAUUUUUAUGAAAAUAUUAAUUAGAAGAAGAUCUUAGCCAUUUUAUUUUUAUUUUUGUUUAAAAUAUCAAAAAAAUUAUGAAAUAUUUAUUCUAUUAAGGUGUUAAAAGUUUUCAAAAAACAAUUUGAAAAAAUAUAAUUAAUUUUAUCUCGAAUUCCUAAAAAACAAUAAUCUGCAUAAUCACACGGUAAAUUUCGGAAGAAUGAAUGUAUACAUAUAAUUUCUAAAAUAAUAAAUAAUUUGAGAAAAUUAUUUUUAAGAAUAGUACUAAAGAACAGUGUGCUUUCCCAGAUGACCUUUCUAGAACAAUGUAUAAAGUAUCUAACAAAAUACUCAUAAAACAAUUUUUUUAAAAAAAGAUGAGUGAGCAUGGAGUUGUCCAUUAGGAAAACUGCUGUUUAGAAACAUGGAUUUUGUGGGAAACAAAAAUGGUGGUUAUGAUAUUUAUCUUAAUUUAGUAAAUUUAUAUUUUCAUCCUUCUAAUUUGGUUUUUAAAAAACAUACAGUCCUCAUGUUUUAGUAAAUACAUAACUAGAAGACCAUUGGAUUAUUAUUAUUAUGAAAAAUUUUAUUCAUUUAAUCAUAAUCAUAAUAUCUUUAUUUCUAAAACAAAAUUAUUGUAAACAAUAGCCAAAAUUUAGAUAUUAUUUGUGAAUCUUCUAAUAAAGAGAUUAAUUAAUUGUACAAAGUAAAAAUUAUCUGGCUAAUCCUAAAAAUAAAUAAAUAAUGAUGGAAGAAAUAUUUCACGAUGCAAGUCAUGUGCCUACUUAAGCACUUAAUUUUAUUUUUUCUUAACUUAUAAGAAAUUGAAAAUAUUAAUUAGAGAUGUCAUUUACAUAUCAACUCCAACCUUUUCAUAAUAUCAAAAUUCACCCUCCUAGUCCACUUAAUUCAAGAUAAAACUUAAUAAAACUUCAUUCAGAAAUUUGAAUAGUCCCUUCUGUAUUUUCUAACUAUUUGUUUUUCAUUGAAUGAAUCACAGUUUUUUCAAAGCAUUACUAUUUCUAGUAUAGAUUCGAUAAUUCAUGCCAUGUUAGAUUUCAUUUGCUAAUUGAAAUUUUAUUCCGAAGAUAAAUUGAAGAAUAAAAAAGUUGUGGACAUUAUUACUUAUUAGCCCCCAAACUUCUUAAAAUGUCAAAAAACAACCCCUAAAGUGUGUAUUUUAUUGUUUUUGUUUCAAAAAGAAGUAUCAUUGCCGACUUACUGCAGCAUUCCGUUUCACUAUAAAACUUGGCAAUUCUCCGCGUUUUAUGCUACCAAAAAUUCUCCGCCAUGAACGACCCAAAUCGGCCAGUUACCGGUUACCCUGCCGCCGGAGCACCGCCGCCAAACCCUAAUGGUUACGGAGGUGCUGCUCAGCAGCAACCACCGAUAGGCACCGGUUACCCAUAUGCAGCACCGCCACCUGGCUCCGCGGUGUACUAUCAAAACAACCCGUACUACCAACCUAAUCACUACGAUGCCCAACGCAACACCUUGCUCCGCCGAGUGAUCGGUAUGGCUAUAGCUUGUAUGGUCAUCGCUGGUACCUUUGUUUUCAUUCUCUGGCUGAUAUUUCGUCCUCGAAUCCCCGAGUUCAGAGUUGAUUCACUGUCUGUAUCGAAUCUUAAUCUGACUAAUUCGCUGAUUUCUGGUAAAUGGGACCUUCGUUUUACUGUGAGAAACCCAAAUAAGAAGAUGACCCUUUACUAUGAUGACGUCGCCGCUGCAGUUUUCUAUGAUGACGUGUCGCUUUCCGAUACAACGGUUCCGCCUUUCUUUCAAGAGAAGAGGGCUGAGACGGCCCGGCAAGCAAGUUUUGCUACUGCGGGCGCUUACGUGAAUAAUCGGGCUUUUGAUCAGAUGAACAAAGAAAGGUCGCAAAAAGGUGCAAUUGGGUUUAAUGUGAGGAUCGUGGCUAGGGUUAGGUUUAGGUCUGGGGCUUGGAGAGCGAGGAGGAGGUUUAUAAGGGUGUACUGUAAGGAUUUGUCAGUGGGGGUUGGGUCGAACAAUUCAUCGGGUACCUUGCUUGGUGGUGCACGACAGUGCCGGGUUGGCCUCUGACGGUGAUCUUUGGUUGUAUUAAGGUGAAAAUCUAUCGUUAUUGGCAAAUGCAAUGUGGUUAAUUUUGGUCUAAGUUAUUAUAAGAAAGACUGUUUAUAAGGGCUCAAUUGGUUACAUUGUGUAUAAUUUUAUGAGUAGUUGUUUUUCUGAGGUACAUUGCUUAUCAAGCUAAGCUAAUAGCUUUUCCUUGGUUGUUCUUGCAUUUAUUAGUUCAUAGCAUAAUGAAUGAAGUUGACAUGAAUGUUAAACUUGACUGUUUAUAAGUGUUCAUUGGCUUACAUUGUGUAUAAUUUUAUUAGUAGUUGUUUUUCUGAGGUACAUUGCUUAUAAGCUAAUAGCUUUUCCUUGUUUGUUCUUGCAUUUAUAGCAUAACAUAUGAAGUUGACAUGAAUGUUAACUUGACACUUUAUGUUAAAAAGUAAAUAUGAAUUAAGAGUAGGUAUAUACAUCACUGAUCUUGAGGUAAAUCGAGAUGUAGAAAGGCCCUUUAGUUCAAUUAUGGAAUUUGCUUCUGGAUCAUUCUGUUAUCAGCCUGUAUAUCUUAAUUUUUUUGUCCCGGUGCUCUGAGAUGUUUGUUUUCCAAGUCCAGCAGAACUCUUUUUGGAAUAUAAUUAACUAGAAAGUGAUACCUAAUAGUUCCAAGGAGAGUAGGAUUUGUUUAGUUCAUGUGCAUUUUUUGUUAAUAUUGCUUUGUUCAGUACUAGCUGCUGGUAAAAGUUCACGACGAUUGAAACGUGUUCAUCUCUUGGUAGAUAAUAAGUAGACUGACCAGUUGUUGAUGUGUUCAACACCACCUAGUUUUUGCUGAAAUAGAGGAAAUCACCUUUCUUUGCGUCUGUAUUCUGAUCUGGUUUGGUAACAGACAGCUCGGUGUGUGUCUGUGUCACAAACUUGAAGGUUUAGAUUGAUGGUCCUAAAGAAUCCUAAUCAUGGCUGUUACUGAUGACUUCGGCUUACUCUUAAAAGUUGCCUGAUCUCCACACUUGAUAACGUGUGGAUAGAGAAGAAGAGUGAAUAAUACUAGAGGAUAGGAUAGGGAAUGACUUUGGCUAUUAGAGAUGAAAUUAGAGUUAAGAUGAGUCAGUUUCAGUGGUUUAAGAAUUCGAAGGUCUGUGGGUACUUUGGUCAUAAUGGUAAGGUUAAACAAUUAGUUAAGCUGUAGUGCGUUUUUCUACAUUUGCAAAUAUAUCACUGCUUGUAUGAUUGCAUACUCUUCCCAUCUAUCUCAGAAUGUUACUUGUCCGGUAAUUGUCCCAAUAUAUUCUCGCUUUACGGUGUAAUGACAAAAAGCGUUGGGUGUGAUAUCACAAAAUGUACUUUUAGGUUGGAUCGAUCAUAAAUGUUUAGGCAGGUUUUGAGUCACGAUUUGUGGCUAAGUAGAUACCAUCAUUGCUUCAAUCUUUUUAAGUUUGAAAGAUAUCAUAUGGCUUCAUUCACUAUGUAUCAUUGAAUUCGGGUGGGAUCGACGUGCUUUCCUUUUAAUAAAUUGUGACUAAUAAUGAUUUUUUCCAUACAAGUUCGAUGUUAGAUCUCCUUUGCUAAUUGAAAUUUUAUUCGCACAAAUAUAAUCUUAUACGUAUAAAUCGGGGGGAAAACCAUAAUUACUUAUUAUUAAAAUGUCGAAAACAAAAAAAUCCCGUAUUUUACUUUUUUUUUUAAGUGCCGGCUUACUGUUGCAUUCCAUUCAGUGUAAAACUUAUGAACGACCCAGUUACGGGUUACCCUGCCGCUGGAGCACUACCGCAAAACACUGACGGUUAUGGAGGUGCUGCUUACCAACAACCACCGAGAGACACAGCUUACCCAUGUGAAGCACCGCCACCUGCCUCCGCGGUGUACAACCAACCUAAUAUCCACGAUCCCAUACGCAAAGCCCCCAUGCUUCAAGUGCUCGGUGUGUAUGCUAUUGCGGUCAUCGGCAUUUCAAUUAUUUAUAUUUUCGUUUAUAUACUUGAUGAUAGAGAGCCCGUGUUCAGAGUUGAUUCACUGUCAGUGUCGAAUCUUAAUCUCACCAAUUCGCUGAUUUCUGGUAAAUGGGACCUUCGUUUUAUUGUGAAAAAUCCGACCAAGGAGAUGGCCAUUUUCUAUAAUGAUAUCGCUGCUGCGGUUUUCUAUGAUGAUGCGUCGCUUUCCGAUACAACGGUUCCGCCUCUUUUUCAGGUGGAUACGACUCAGACGGCCCGGCAAGUGAGUUUUGCUACUGCUGGCGCAUACAUGGAUAAUCAGGCUUUUGAUAAGAUGAACAAAGAAAGGUCGCAAAAAGGUGCAAUUGGGUUCAAUGUGAGGAUAGUGGCUGGGUUUAGGGUUAGUUCUGGGGUUUAUUGGAAUCGGAUGAGGACGUUUGUAAUGGUCUAUUGUAAGGAUUUGUCAGUCGGGGUUGGUUCGAAUAAUUCAUCGGGCACCUUGCUUGGUGGUGCGCGACAGUGCCAGGUUGAACUCUGACGGUGAUUUUUGCUUGUUUCAAGGUGAAUAUCUAUUGUUAUUGGCAAAUGCAAUGUGGUAUUGGUUAACAUUUAUCUAGCUAAUAGUUUUUUUGGUUGUUGUUGCUAGUCCAUUGCAUAACGAAUGAAGUGGACAUGAAAGUUGUUUUAAAAAGUAAAUAUGAUCUGAGAGUAGUUAUAUACAUCACUCAUCUAGAUUAUGGAAUUUGCUUGUUGAUCAUUUAUCAAUUGAUACCUGUUUAGUUGAUGUGCAUUUUUUUUGCUAAUAUUGCUUUCUUCUCUACUGGUAUAGGAUUGAAACUUGUUCAUAUCUUGGUAGAGUGGCCAGUUUCUGAUGUGUUCAACACCACCUAAUCAUGGCUGUUACUUGAUAAUGUGUGGAUAGAUAAUUUCUGUGAAUAUAGAAAAGCAAUGAGUUUUGGGGCAAGUGUGCUGAAAAUUAAGUUCCAUGUUAGGUUUCCUUUGCUAAUUGAAAAUAAUCUUAUACGUAUAAAUCGGGGGAAAUCAUAAUUACUUAUAUAUUAAAAUGUUUUAAAAAAAAAAACACUAUAUAUUACUCUUAUUUGUUUAAAAAGUGCCGACUUACUGCAGCAUUCCAUUCUCUAUAAAACUUAACAAUUCUCCGCCAUGAACGACCCCGUCACUGGUCACUCUUCCGCUGGAGCACCACCGGUAACUCUAACGGUUUUGGAGGUGCUGCGGUCGAACAACCACCGAGAGGCACUGCUUACCUAUGUGGAGCACCGCCACCUGUCUACAACCAACCUAAUCCCUACGAUACCAAAGGCAAAGCCUCCAUCAUUGUAUUGAUCGGUAUGACUAUAAUUGGUGUAGCCUACGCCGGUGCAAUUAUAUUUAUUCUCUUGAGUGCACUUGAUGAUGGAAACCCCGAGUUCAGAGUUGAUUCACUGUCAGUAUCGAAUCUUAAUCACACCAAUUCGCUGAUUUCUGGUAAAUGGGACCUUCGUUUUACUGUGACAAAUCCAUCUAAGAAGAUCAUUUACUAUAACGAUAUCACCACUACGGUUCUCUAUGAUGAUGUGUCGCUUUCCGAUACAACAGUUCCGCCUUUCUUUCAGGUUAAGAAGACUGAGACGGCCCGGCAAGCAAGUUUUGUUACUGCGGGCGCAUAUAUGGAUGAUCAGGCUUUUGAUAAGAUGAACAAAGAAAGGUGCAAUCGGGUUCAAUAUGAGGGUGGUCGCUGGGGCUAGGUUUAGGGAUGGGUCUUGGAGUAAGAGUAGGACGUUUAUAAUGGUCUAUUGUAAGGAUUUGUCCGUCGGGGUUGGGUCAAAUAAUUCAUCGGGUACGUUGCUUGGUGGUGCGCAACAGUGCAAGGUUGAACUCUGAUGGUGAUCUUUGCUUGUUUUAAGGUGAAAAAAUCUGUUGUUAUUGGCUAAUGCAAUGUGGUUAAUCACUGAUUAUUGGUUUCCAUUGUGUAUAAUUUUAUAGCUAGGUACAUUGCUUAUCAAGCUAAUAGCUUUUGUUCUUGAUUUUUAUAGUCCAUUGCAUAACGAAUGAAGUGGAAUUUGAUACAUUAUGUUAAAAAGUAAAUAUGAAUUGAGAGUAGUCAUAUACAUCACUGAUCUUGAGGUAAAUGGAGAUGUAGAAAUGCCCUUUAGUUCAAUUAUGGUUAUUUACAUCUUCAUGUCCAAUGUCCCUGUGUUUUAUACUUGAUAGGUAUAUUCUUCACACAUUUUCUAUUUCUAAAUUGCUUAAUUGAAAUGUUGGCAUGCGAUAGCAGUAGUUUCUACUAUACAUGUGGUGUUUGUAGCGUUAAUAUUUCCUUAUAUUGCCCUUCUUCUGUGUGGAAGGGAGAAAACUUACUUUAGGACUUGCCUGCCAUGCUAUGCUUUCAUAGAGGUUUUCCUUUUAAAAGUUUUGAACUAAUAAUGAUCGUUUAUUUUUCCAUAUUAGUAGUCGUAGUAUUACUAUAAGAACUUCUUGUUCUUCCAUUUAUAUUACUAUUUAAUGUUUCCUGCACUUUGAUUAGCGUAUUAUUUAUAGUAGUGACUGCUCCUUUAUAUGUAUGCUUAGCGUUUUGUCUUGGCUUCUUCAUUCCCAUUGUUUCGUUUUUCAAACUUCUUUGUGAUGCUGCUUUUACUUGAGCCAAGGGUCUAUCGAGAACAUCCUCUCUACGCCUAAGGUAAGGCUAAUGUUUGUAUACAUGCAUAGCCUUGUUUCCAGAUGUGGUAUAGACAUCUCUGCAGCUGUAAGUGAAUUUAAGUCCUGGCUUGAAAUUUUCUAGUGAUUAUUUUCUACGUGGAUCGAGUGGCAUUAUUAAUCUCAAAGAGAUCUACCUGUUACAUUUGUUACUUUUCCACAACUACCUGUUGUUGUUUGUUUGAUCAUUUGAUUUGGUGCUGCAUUUAUAGUUCAGGUUUUGUUCUGCAGUCAAAGUAUAUUCCGUCUUAUAUACAGAAACAAUACAGUUCUAUGUUGCAUAGGCUCUCUCAUGUGUACGUAGUGUAUAUUUGGAGAAACCGAC